rnacentral:sRNA from 1 species
UCGACGGUCCGUAGCCCCCACGUCGGGUU